GGAGCCACAGCCUGAAGUGGCUUUCGCUGUGCUUGUCUGAGAGGACAGGAUGCUAGUCUCUGAGAUCACAGGGUGUUGAAGGCAUGGCAUCUGCCCUCUGCAUUUUACCAAUAAAGAUGAGAGGAUAUGCAAAAGCAGAGAGCAAACACUAGGCAUUGUCACUGAAUAUCCCCUAGUGGGCCAGCGGUGGGUCUUCUUCAGGGGCUGCAGGCUUUGCAUUAACAUGUAGGGUGGAAGAGGAAACUGAGCUCAGAGAUUAUGUGGAUAGUUGAAACAGUGAGGGGCAGAAAUGUAGAGUUUUAGAAGUGUGGGUUAAGGGAAGCCAGUUUGUAGGGGGUCAUCAUUGACAAGUUUAGGAGGCCUUUUCCCUCCUAAACUGAUGUUUCUCAAACUUUGCUCUCAAGGAAUGCUCCCAUGAUGAUGGUUCUGUGAAAGUGCACCAUAGAGGGACAGUCAGAGCUGUGAAGUCGUCCUUCACAUCCUUUGCACAAACUUUGCUGUCUGUACCUUUGUUUUCUAGGCAAUGCAAGCAGGUGCAUAAGUGAAUGGAUGAGAAGAUGAGCCUACCACUCCAUAGCUUUUGUUUUGUCUUAGGGACAUACCAGAAAUCCCACCCUGGACAUGGCUCCUGGUCAGAGAGAAAUCAGCUGGGGGAUGCCCCGAGUCCCCGGACUACUACAGGCCAUGAAUCAUGGAGGCUUCUUACAGCCCCUGCAUUCUGCCCUCUACUUCUGAAGCACUGGCUGUGCCAUUGAGCGCUCUGGAGACAAGCUAUGAAAAUGCAGAUGGGUGGUUACGAAACACAAGUGGAAAUUUUGAAAAAUCCAGGUGACAGAGCCUAUUGUGCCAAAAAGGUGGGGCUGAAGACUUCUGCAGGGAGGAAGGAGCUCUCUAGAAUGAGCCCCUGUUGAAGCAGUAGAGAACACGCUUCCUGUUAUCCUGUCCUCGGGCCCAUCCUUUCAGCUCUGGGCAUAACCUCAAAGGUGAGCGGUUUGUGCAGGGCUGAGCUUCACUCCCUGGGAUUCUCAGCACCAGGUCCAGAGGGAGGCCAGGAUGAUGGCCUUGGUUCACACCUAGCCCUCUGCACCACAAAGCCUGCCCUAGCUCUGGAACAUGAGCACAUGGUGUUGUAACCUUCUACCUUUUCUGCCUUAGACAUAUGUAGAGCUUGGGUGGAAAUUCUUGUUUUUUUCUUGGGGAAACUGACCAGGGAGACAGUCUCUUACAGGGAGGAUUUGGAUGAGUAGGACUGUGCCUCCCACUACACAAGAGGGUUAUGAGCCCAUAAAACUCAUUUUAUGAGGUUAGGUCACUGUGCGGUGACUUUUUCUCUUUGGGGGUACACAGGCCACUAUUGUCAGCAUCUAGUAUCUGUGAGCCAUGUAAGAUCUGCCAAUGAAAUAAGGGCAGAAGCAAUGCCACCACUUCCAGGCCUGGAAAAGAAAAACUUGUGGCCAGUUCCCCAUUCUGCUUUCUUCUGCACUGCUGGGUGGAGAAGACCCAGAGGAGCCACACAAUGGAAGGAGCCUGGGGUGGGGGUGGGGCAGAAUGACAGUGGAACAGAUAAUUUUUUAUGCUCUUUCCAUUGCAACCUGCUCUGGCAAUGAUAAGAAUGACAAACACACUCCUCAACUGUUAAGACUUGAGAGUUCUCUGUGUGUGUGUACAUGCAAUCACAUGUGUGCCAUAUGUGCACAUAUGUGCAACGCCUGGGGAAGCCAGAAGUCAACACUGGGUAUCUUCUUCAAUCACUGUCGACUUCACCUUUUGAUUCAGAGUCUCUCACUAAACCUGGAGCUCACUGUUUCAGCUAGGGAUCCUCCUGUCUCCACUUCCCCAGCACUGGGAUUACAGGUGUGUGCCACAAUAACAGCUUUUCCUGUAAGUGUCUAGAAAUCUGAACUCAUGUCCUCAAGCAUUCAUGACAAAGACAUUAGCAUCUUCCUGCCCCUACUGUGGAGAUUUGAUGCAGCAGCUAGUAUAGUACCACACCAUGCCUUGUGUAGACACCCUAUUUCAGUAUAGAGAAAUGACACGGAAACCUGGCCUGUAUUCCAUAAGAAACUGUGGUGAUAUGAUCUAAUAAAGCCACUGAG